ensembl:lncRNA
GAGAAAUGUUAUUCUUUUAUUUCAUUAAUUUUACCCAAAAAUUAUAUUCAGGGCCAAUUAAGUAAGUGUCUUAGACACCUGCUUAAGUAUGAGCUAGUAUCCAGGAUACUGGCUCAGUAUGACACAGGAUAGUGGUUCAGUACGAGUACAAGUACACAGGUUACUGGCUCAGUAUGCGUAUAAAUACACAGGUUACUGGCUCAGUACGAGUACAAAUACACAGGAUACUGGCUAAGUAUGAGCUGGAGUGGGGGGGCGUUGGAAAAAUACAAAAUACAGUUUAUUAUAGCUUAAAAUAGCUACCCGACUGCUAUGCUGCUUAUCCCCAAAUAUAAAUGCACAGACAUUCCUGUAUAAUUAUGGUGUACGACAGCUCCCUCAGCUGGACAACAGUCUCACACCAAACUACAUUUUCCGUUUGAACCAACGUAGCUAUAGUACCUACAUUGAUGCGAGACGGGUUGUUGGAUUGAACGUGUUGUAGUAGCAGAAUGGCCAGCAGGGCAGCAUGUACAUUGUUAAAUACAUGAAUAGGUUUGAAUUUUGUAGUAAUGGAGGUUUGAUGUGAGCAUUGCUGAAUAACAAUCAUGUAUAUUUAAUGUAUUGCAGGAGUUUAGCUUGACGUUAACCAAGUUAAAGGACAAUUAAAUGAACCGCACCAAACAUGUAGAAGUAAAUGUGGAAUUUUAAUAUAUAAACAAAACACUUGACAGAAGUUUAUUACAAUUUUGUAAAGGAAAGCAGAGGAAAACAUUUUCCCAAAUGAAUCUUUUCAAAAUGUCACCACCAUUCCGAAAGGAAGUGAAGAGGUUUGUGUAAAAACAGUCCUCCCUGACCAGCUCUGUCCCUGACUCUAAACCCUGACUCUCAACCCUAACGCUGAACCCUCUGAGGGCAGGAAGACGCGCCUUCAGUGUAAAGGUUCGAACAACAGAGAAGGAAGAAGAAGAGGAAGCAGUAGAGAGUAGUGAAGUAGUGAGGUUAGUGACAGACGUGAGGGAAAGGCGUGUGGAAGCACACGGUUACAUGUGGGGUCAAGAAGAUCACUCCCACUGGAGGUCAUUGAUCCAUCAGCCUCAGACUGCUGAGCUCAGCAGGUCUUCUGGAGGACGAGGCGCAGAUGAACUGAGGAGACGGGACCAGCAGGCUGUCAGGAUCAGGGCGGGUUCAGCUCAGGUGUAUCUACCCCCAACCAAACAGGAUCAGGUGAGGUUCAGCUCAGGCGUGUCUGCCCGGACCACACAAGGACAUUGAUUAGGUUCAAUAUUCAAAAGAUGCAACAUUAUCUGAACCAAAGAUUAGUCAUUAAGGAGCAGGCAGGCUUUAGGGCGCCUUGCUCAAGGAUGCAUCACUGUAUUCUGAGGACUUGAACCCGGCAACAUUGGUUUGAGAGUUGAACCCCCAACCCCCUACCUAGUCCACUAUGUCCAGAUAAUGCAAACUGACGAGGAAUCCUUGAUGGUAGAGACCUGGUCGUCCUCAGGAUUUGCCUUCCCGAUGUACGGCUUCUCCAUCAGUCCUCCAGAUUCCUGGUCUGGUUACAAACGUAAUUUGUCUCUAAUGUAAGGUAACAAACAGUAGUAGUUUGUCUCUAAUGAAAGGUAACAAACACAGUAGUAGUUUGUCUCUAAUAUCAGGUAACAAACAGUUGUAGUUGGGCUCUAAUGGCGUGUAACAAAGUAGCAGCUAUAGUUUGUCUGGUAAACAACCACAGUAGUGUGCCGUAACUUGUACUGGUCAAACUAAUCUUGCGUUACAACCAGUCCACUCUGUUUAUUUUAUGCAAACUCACGAGGAUCCUGGUUGGUGGAGUGAUGUCGUCCUCCAGAGUCUUGGCUCCUCCAUCAGCUCACCACAGCCCGAGUCCUGGUCUGGAACAAACAGCGCGAGUCUGGCCCCAACGUCUGGUAAAAAAACAUGUAGUUUGUCUUAUUUUUAAGCCCUUUAUUUCCACUUUGUUAGGUUAAUACAGACUUACAAUCCUUGUUGGUAGAGUGAUGGUCAUCCUCCAGAUUCACGGCUCCCCUACCAGCUCGCCUCCGCUCCAGA